GUAAGAAAGAUUCUGCAGGCCAAAAUCUGUCCUCAGUUGCACUCCGGCAAGCCUGUUAUCUCUGUUGUGUGUCCUCAGUGACACCAGAGCAAAUCCCUCCUCUGUGACGGAAUUCUUCAGCUGCAGGGGAAGGGUGUCAGAGAAUAUUUUGAAGGAAAACACUGAUACAAGAAUCAGGCUAUGAGCAGUACUCUUCCACUGUGACUUGCAAUGACAUUCCAGCAGCUACACUUCAGUGACAUUGUGGUAAUUUUGGAUUCUGAAGACCUGUGUGAGAAUGGGGAAACCAAGAGGAGAGUUUUGUUGAUCAUUGGUUUUAUUUGUUUUGUGUUUGUUUGGAGAAACAUGGCCUGGCCUUAGACAGAAAAAAUACUAUGGAAAACAAAGCAACCCUCUACAUGUGAAAAGAAACCCAAAGAAGUUCCACUUCCAUCUGUCUUUAUACUUGCACAUGGUUGCACCUACUUGUCAUUUUGUAAUACCCAAGUUACUAAAUGUACCUAUGUACUUUAAAAUCCAAAGUUUUGAACAGCAGAAGCUUGAUUUGCAGCACAUACUCCUUGCCUCCCCCUAUCUGUGAUAGAAAAGUAUCAAUAGAUUUUGAUUUGAUAAAAUUAGGAUUCCCAAAAUCACAACAAAUCAUGA